CUGGGAUAGGGAUUAAGUGAGAGAUUUAAUUUUACCCUUACUUAUAUUUUCUGUUGAAUUUCUGUUUGAUCUUUUCGUUCAAUUAGUUUCUACGUUGCCCUAUUUCACUCGAGUUUGUUUAACUCGUUUAAAAGCUUUGUUUCAAAGGAAAUUAUGUUUUCCGUUGGCUUUGUUCUUGGGAAGUUUAUUUCCAAUGUUGUAUGUUUUUUACCUUUAUUCAAUAAAUAAAAUAUCCAGAUGACAAAAAAAAAAAA
rnacentral:lncRNA from 1 species